GAUGAACGCUGGCGGCGGGCCUAAUACAUGCAAGUCGAGCGAACAGACGAGGAGCUUGCUCCUCUGACGUUAGCGGCGGACGGGUGAGUAACACGUGGAUAACCUACCUAUAAGACUGGGAUAACUUCGGGAAACCGGAGCUAAUACCGGAGAAUAUAUUGAACCGCAUGGUUCAAUAGUGAAAGACGGUUUUGCUGUCACUUAUAGAUGGAUCCGCGCCGCAUUAGCUAGUUGGUAAGGUAACGGCUUACCAAGGCGACGAUGCGUAGCCGACCUGAGAGGGUGAUCGGCCACACUGGAACUGAGACACGGUCCAGACUCCUACGGGAGGCAGCAGUAGGGAAUCUUCCGCAAUGGGCGAAAGCCUGACGGAGCAACGCCGCGUGAGUGAUGAAGGUCUUCGGAUCGUAAAACUCUGUUAUUAGGGAAGAACAAAUGUGUAAGUAACUAUGCACGUCUUGACGGUACCUAAUCAGAAAGCCACGGCUAACUACGUG
rnacentral:rRNA from 1 species